UGGGCGUAAGGGCUCGCAGGCGGUUUCUUAAGUCUGAUGUGAAAGCCCCCGGCUCAACCGGGGAGGGUCAUUGGAAACUGGGGAACUUGAGUGCAGAAGAGGAGAGUGGAAUUCCACGUGUAGCGGUGAAAUGCGUAGAGAUGUGGAGGAACACCAGUGGCGAAGGCGACUCUCUGGUCUGUAACUGACGCUGAGGAGCGAAAGCGUGGGGAGCGAACAGGAUUAGAUACCCUGGUAGUCCACGCCGUAAACGAUGAGUGCUAAGUGUUAGGGGGUUUCCGCCCCUUAGUGCUGCAGCUAACGCAUUAAGCACUCCGCCUGGGGAGUACGGUCGCAAGACUGAAACUCAAAGGAAUUGACGGGGGCCCGCACAAGCGGUGGAGCAUGUGGUUUAAUUCGAAGCAACGCGAAGAACCUUACCAGGUCUUGACAUCCUCUGACAAUCCUAGAGAUAGGACGUCCCCUUCGGGGGCAGAGUGACAGGUGGUGCAUGGUUGUCGUCAGCUCGUGUCGUGAGAUGUUGGGUUAAGUCCCGCAACGAGCGCAACCGUUGAUCUUAAUUGCCAGCAUUCAGUUGGGCACUCUAAGGUGACUGCCGGU
rnacentral:rRNA from 1 species